GCGUCCACGGGGGCCGCGUGGUGGCCUACGGGCGCCCCGGCCGCCCGGUCCGGGUAGCUCUCCCAGGGGCCCUGCCCGUACCAGGCGAGCUGGUCGAA
rnacentral:tRNA from 1 species